rnacentral:rRNA from 1 species
AGAGUUUGAUCCUGGCUCAGGACGAACGCUGGCGGCGUGCUUAACACAUGCAAGUCGAACGGUGAAGUCCCUUCGGGGAUGGAUCAGUGGCGAACGGGUGAGUAACACGUGGGCAAUCUGCCCCUCACUGUGGGAUAACUCCGGGAAACCGGGGCUAAUACCGCAUAUGAAGCCUGGCGGCAUCGCCGGGUUUGGAAAGUUUUUCGGUGAGGGAUGAGCCCGCGGCCUAUCAGCUUGUUGGUGAGGUAAUGGCUCACCAAGGCGACGACGGGUAGCCGGCCUGAGAGGGCGACCGGCCACACUGGGACUGAGACACGGCCCAGACUCCUACGGGAGGCAGCAGUGGGGAAUAUUGGGCAAUGGGCGAAAGCCUGACCCAGCGACGCCGCGUGCGGGAUGAAGGCCUUCGGG